CAGCAGCCGCGGGAAUACAGAGGGUGCAAGCGUUAAUCGGAAUUACUGGGCGUAAAGCGCGCGUAGGUGGUUUGUUAAGUUGGAUGUGAAAUCCCCGGGCUCAACCUGGGAACUGCAUCCAAAACUGGCAAGCUAGAGUAUGGUAGAGGGUGGUGGAAUUUCCUGUGUAGCGGUGAAAUGCGUAGAUAUAGGAAGGAACACCAGUGGCGAAGGCGACCACCUGGACUGAUACUGACACUGAGGUGCGAAAGCGUGGGGAGCAAACAGGAUUAGAUACCCGGGUAGUCCCUGUCUCUUAUAC
rnacentral:rRNA from 1 species